UGGGGAAUAUUGGGCAAUGGGGGAAACCCUGACCCAGCGACGCCGCGUGAGGGAAGACGGUUUUCGGAUUGUAAACCUCUGUCUUAGUGGAUGAGAACGGACAGUACACUAGGAGGAAGCCACGGCUAACUACGUGCCAGCAGCCGCGGUAAUACGUAGGUGGCAAGCGUUAUCCGGAAUUACUGGGUGUAAAGGGAGCGUAGGCGGGAAGGAAAGUCAGGUGUGAAAUCCCACAGCUUAACUGUGGAGCUGCACUUGAAACUUCUUUUCUUGAGUGAAGUAGAGGCAAGCGGAAUUCCGUGUGUAGCGGUGAAAUGCGCAGAUAUACGGAGGAACACCAGUGGCGAAGGCGGCUUGCUGGGCUUUUACUGACGCUGAGGCUCGAAAGCGUGGGUAGCAAACA
rnacentral:rRNA from 1 species